CCAGAGAUGAUUUUCAUCGGAGACCAGAACACCUAAAUGUGCCCCGUGGACAGAUCGCGGAUCGCACCACAGUCCUUUCUGGUGGCUGAGAAAACCUCACUGUAGAUGCCGAUAUAUCGGAUCUCUCUGCUACUCCAUGCAUCCCUAGUCGUCCCACUGUGUCCAGCACUCCCAGACGCUCUGGCUGCCCUUCACCUGUUCAACAAGGAAAGAGAAAAAAGGGUGACAUGAGUGCUCUGACUCUCGUAUAAGAAAUGAUGGAACAAGAGGAGAUAGACCGCAGACAAACCCACAUAAAAAUGCAUAGCCUUGUUGAUAUGCUGAAGGAACAGGCCCAGAGAAAAGGGGAAGAGCGUGAGUGGCUGCAGAGCUGACCAACAGGCUUUUUGUCUUUUUGCUCUUUGUACAUUGUUUUGCAUUAUGUACUGCAAUCUCACAUUGAACAAAGACAAAGACAUUUGUGUGUAUUGUACAGAAUUUUUUUUUUAUAUCUCAAAUACACGUUUGUAAUUCGGUUUUACUUAUUGGAGUUACUUGUUUAGGAAUUAGGAUGUGUAACAUUAAAGUAUGUCCUGUCACAUAUCGGUGAAAAUACUAGGCCUAGGCAAACAAUUAUGACAACUAUAACAAUCUAAUUACUUGUGUUAGUGGGGGCAGGCAAUCAAGUAACAUCCUAUACAAAUGAUUAUAGGAACAAAUUAUAACACCCAUAAGUUAUCAGUCCAAAUAGUUUUGCAAGAACAACAGAAUAUCCGUGUUCUGCCCUAGCACUCUGUUUUUCUUUUGUUGUCUUGUGUCAACACAUGGCUUUGUUUUUGUCAGCCAUAUUCUUCCCUAGUCCCUCCUCCUCGUUUCCUCUUGACCACACCCUCUCCUUAGCCUUGUUGAGUCAGUGUGUGUAUCCUUUUUGCUGGUUCCUUGUCAUUCUUACCCCUUCUGUCACUGUCUUUGGAUAUGGCUGAAUGUGUGUUGUUAUGUCCCUGCCUGGUUGGUCUUGUACCCUUGUUCUUGCUCCCUGUGUCGCUUGUUUUUGCCUUUUUCUUUUGUUUUGCAUGUUGCAUAUUCUUUAAGUUAAUUAUGUUAGUAAAAUUGUUAAUAAUGUCUUAUUUUUUCUCUUGUUUGUUUUAUUUAUCCCCCUUCCUGCUUAGAGCUGUUGUCCUGUCUUGUGUCUCUAUGUUUGUUAGAGCUCCUAUCUGGACCCAUUCUCGACCCCGGUUCUCCCUGUCUGGUACUAGGUCAGCUUCUGAGUUGAUGGUCUAGAAGUAUCUGAGCUUUAGCUCUAUGAUGCCUUGUUUGCCUCUCUAUCUGCCUGGUCUU